rnacentral:rRNA from 1 species
AGUGCNUUAUGCGUCAAAAGGAUUCGUCUGCCCAAGGAUGGGUCUGCGGCCUAUCAGGUAGUAGUGGGUGUAAUGUACCUACUAGCCAGCGACGGGUACGGGUUGUGAGAGCAAGAGCCCGGAGAUGGAUUCUGAGACAUGAAUCCAGGCCCUACGGGGCGCAGCAGGCGCGAAAACUUUACAAUGCGGGAAACCGUGAUAAGGGGACACCGAGUGCCAGCAUCAUAUGCUGGCUGUCCGGAUGUGUAAAAUACAUCCGUUAGCAAGGGCCGGGCAAGACCGGUGCCAGCCGCCGCGGUAACACCGGCGGCCCGAGUGGUGAUCGUGAUUAUUGGGUCUAAAGGGUCCGUAGCCGGUUUGGUCAGUCCUCCGGGAAAUCUGAUAGCUCGACUAUUAGGCUUUCGGGGGAUACUGCCAGACUUGGAACCGGGAGAGGUAAGAGGUACUACAGGGGUAGGAGUGAAAUCUUGUAAUCCCUGUGGGACCACCUGUGGCGGAGGCGUCUUACCAGAACGGGUCCGACGGGUGAGGGACGAAAGCUGGGGGCACGAACCGGAUUAGAUACCCGGGGUAAGUCCCAGCCGUAAACGAUGCUCGCCUAAGGUGUCAAGGCAUGGCCGC